rnacentral:snoRNA from 1 species
CCCCUCUCAGGAUCGCACCUGGAGACUUUCCAGUACUCUACCAGUCUCGAAUAUGGGAGGGAGUGUCAAGCAGAGGCAUUUCCAUUCCUAGCUUGGGCAGUGGCUAGUGAGUGGAAGGCAAUCUGCUACAAAU